rnacentral:RNase_P_RNA from 1 species
CUAUUCAGGCAAUCGCUGCACACUUUGAUGUGUAGAGGAAAGUCCAUGCUCACACAGCUCUGAGACGACUGUAGUGUUCGUGCCUCGUGAAGUCAUAAACGAGGGCAGCUGCCAGGCUGACGGCAGAGAAAUCACCUAAGUCUUUGGAUACGGUGUAGUACUCUUGAAAGUGCCACAGUGACGAAGUCUUAUUCGGAAACGGUAAGAGUGGAACGCGGUAAACCCCACGAGUGAGAAACCCAAAUUAUGGUAGGGGCAUUUCCAUGAAGGAACUGAACGGAUUGGAAGACGGAGAUUCCGUAGAUAGAUGAUUGCCGCCCAGUAUGUACGAGGGGCUUCCCCGCUUGAGUACAUGGGAGACAAAACAUGGCUUACCGAA